rnacentral:rRNA from 1 species
UACGUAGGUGGCGAGCGUUGUCCGGAAUUACUGGGUGUAAAGCGCGUGUAGGCGGGAGGCCAAGUCUGUGGUGAAAUCGCUCGGCUUAACCGGGCGGGGUCCAUGGAAACUGGUCACCUGGAGGUCGGUAGAGGCAAGUGGAAUUCCCGGUGUAGUGGUGAAAUGCGUAGAGAUCGGGAGGAACACCAGUGGCGAAGGCGGCUUGGCUGGGCCGGACCUGACGCUGAGACGGCGAAGG